GGACAGGAAUUUGCAAUCAAAUAAGGUGGGAGUGAGGCAGAGCUGGAGGAGAGAGUAGAGAGCAAGAGACAGGUAUGUAAGGUAGAGGUUACUGUGGGAGGCCAUAAGCUUUCCUAAAGAGAUGGGUUUUAAGGCACUUCUUAAAAGAUGCAAGACUAGGGGAGAGUCUGAUGGCAGUAGGCAGUCUAUUCCAUAGGAAGGGAGCCGCCCGCGAGAAAUCUUGCAAGCGUGAGUUGGCCAUAUGGGUGCAAACAACGGACAGGAGGUGGUCACGGGCAGAGCGGAGAUA